rnacentral:lncRNA from 1 species
GCCGAACAACAUUGACAAUAUGCUACUCUUUUUAUGGAAAUACGAAGAACAGAAAGCGCAGAAACCGUACGCAAGCGAUAAUAAAGAUCCACGACGAGCAAAGCCGAAUUUCAUAGCACCGGAUGAAGAACAACUUGUCCAUACUGAGUAGAUCUGUAGAGCUUGAGCCUGUCAAAGCAAUCCUUAGCAGUAUACUUAAAUUGUUGUUGAUGUAUUUGUUGAGAUCUGU